ensembl:snoRNA
UGGACUAGUGAUGAUGACUGGUGGCGUAGGAGUCAGGGACGAUGAGAAUAUGUGUCUGAAACUCUGAGAUCCGG